rnacentral:rRNA from 1 species
UACGUAGGGGGCAAGCGUUGUCCGGAUUUAUUGGGCGUAAAGAGCGUGUAGGCGGCCUGACAGGUCAGCUGUGAAAACUCGAGGCUCAACCUCGAGACGUCGGUUGAAACCGUAUGGCUAGAGUCCGGAAGAGGAGAGUGGAAUUCCCGGUGUAGCGGUGAAAUGCGCAGAUAUCGGGAAGAACACCCGUGGCGAAGGCGGCUCUCUGGGACGGUACUGACGCUGAGACGCGAAAGCGUGGGGAGCGAACAGG